rnacentral:rRNA from 1 species
AUGAGCCUCCUCUGCUGGAACUGUCGUGGUGUGGGUAAUCCAACGACAGUUCACGAGCUUCGUGAUCUCGCGAAGAAGUUUACCCCGACCGUACUUUGUAUCAUUGAAACACAAAUUGAUAGGGUACAUGUUGAAAACCUAAAAGGAGAGCUAGGUUACAAUACAAGUUAUGUUGUGUCUGGAUGUUUUGGAGGUCUAGGGAUAUUUUGGAAUGAUGAAAUAAAUUUGCAAGUUUCUAGCUACUCAAAAUAUCAUAUAGAUGCGAUUGUGAAUAAUGCAGGGGCUAGUCCUUGGAGGCUAACAUGCAUAUAUGGAGAGGCCUAG